rnacentral:rRNA from 1 species
AUGGAUCGCCGAGCCUUCAGGAGUAACUCGUGCAACAGCAAGAACACGGCGCCUCCCCCCUCGCCCUCGGCGGCGUCGGCGGCGGUGUACCGGACGUCCUCGGCGCCGGUGGGGGGCUCCAAGGACAACGUCGGCGAGCGCAAGGCGCUGCUGCCCCGGCGCCCCGAGGGCGGCACGGCCCGCAAGGCCUACAAGGGCCCCAAGCGGCGGGUGCAGUGGAAGGACACCCACGGGAAGAAGCUCGCCGAGGUCUUGGAAUUCCAGCCUAGUGAUUCAAGUGACUCGGAUGAUGAUUAUUUGGAUACUUGCAUAUGCUCAGUCAUGUAA